UACGUAGGGGGCAAGCGUUGUCCGGAUUUAUUGGGCGUAAAGAGCGUGUAGGCGGCUUUGCAAGUCCGUUGUGAAAACUCGAGGCUCAACCUCGAGACGCCGGUGGAAACUGCAAAGCUAGAGUCCGGAAGAGGAGAGUGGAAUUCCUGGUGUAGCGGUGAAAUGCGCAGAUAUCAGGAAGAACACCAAUGGCGAAAGCAGCUUUCUGGGACGGUACUGACGCUGAGACGCGAAAGCGUGGGGAGCGAUCCGG
rnacentral:rRNA from 1 species